rnacentral:lncRNA from 1 species
AAAUAAUGCUUUAAUGAGAAAAGAGAUGGCCUGAUGCUUCCCCUGUGGGAAUGAGAGUAAAGAACUCUGGGCUGUGAUCCCAUCCAAACACCGGACUGGCUCUGAGGACCAGGAUAGACUCUUCACCUCCCUGCGCCUGAAUUUCCUUACACGCAAAUAGAUCAAGAGAGUGACUUUAACCAAAGUAGAGUGAGAAACAGCAUUGCCUCCUGCUUUGAGACUUAGGUAGAGGAAGAAGACCCCACUGGAUACAUUUGAUUGAAAAAUUUCUCCCAGUGAUGACCGAAGUACUGCUGGAAAGAAGUCUUAGAUCCAGCUAAACAUGGUCCUUUCUAAGGAAGAACUGAUCAAGAUAUGACUGAAGAAGGUGAGCCUUUUUCUCAGGCGGAAAUGGAAGAAAUGUUGUCUGCUGCAGUUGAUCCAGAAUCGAAUUCAGUUGAUUACAAGGACUACGUAACAAUGAUGGUGGCAGAUGAGACUUAAACACUUUAAAGACUUAAUUUCCAAUUGAAAGGAUAAUUUAAAAAAUUGUCCUUGUUAAUUUCACAUUUUAUCUUAUCAUUUCUACAUAUGAUAACUAAUGCUUUGUGACAGCUAUUUCAAUAUAUUUUGUUUUUUAAAGAUGAUCAUAAUAAUUUAAAACUCUUUAAAUAUUUAAACUAUUUAACAUUUUAACUAUUUAACAUAUAAAGAUUUAAAACUAUUUGAGCUGUUUAAAACAUCAAAUUAAAAUUUAUUUGUCUAGCCUCAUGGAACGACAAAUUGCUAAUUUUUUUGAAACUAUUCUUAAAACAUUUUAACAUUAUUUAUCUAUUGUUAAUUUUCUAUAAUAAAACUCAGAUUACCUGCAAAUUAAUUAAGCUGACAAAAUGAAGAAUGAUUAGAAUGACCCAGGUUUGACAUAUGAAGAUCUUGGGAGGGGGCAGAAUGACCACAGAUUGAAAAUCAGUAGCAAAGUGAUGAA